rnacentral:rRNA from 1 species
GAUGAACGCUGGCGGCGUGCCUAAUACAUGCAAGUCGAGCGAACAGACGAGGAGCUUGCUCCUCUGACGUUAGCGGCGGACGGGUGAGUAACACGUGGAUAACCUACCUAUAAGACUGGGAUAACUUCGGGAAACCGGAGCUAAUACCGGAUAAUAUAUUGAACCGCAUGGUUCAAUAGUGAAAGACGGUUUUGCUGUCACUUAUAGAUGGAUCCGCGCCGCAUUAGCUAGUUGGUAAGGUAACGGCUUACCAAGGCGACGAUGCGUAGCCGACCUGAGAGGGUGAUCGGCCACACUGGAACGGAGACACGGUCCAGACUCCGACGGGAGGCAGCAGUAGGGAAUCUUCCGCAAUGGGCGAAAGCCUGACGGAGCAACGCCGCGUGAGUGAUGAAGGUCUUCGGAUCGUAAAACUCUGUUAUUAGGGAAGAACAAAUGUGUAAGUAACUAUGCACGUCUUGACGGUACCUAAUCAGAAAGCCACGGCUAACUACGUG